AUGAAAAUGAUUUCAGAAGCUUUUCAGGCAUCACCAACACCUGGGCUGUCCUCUGCUCUCCCACAGCACUUCUAUUUUCACACAGGUCAGCCCAAGGCUUCUCCUUUGAUCACUAUAUUUCCAUCCUCCUCUGAGGAGCUACAGAACAGCAAGGCCACACUGGUGUCUGAUCAAUGGCUUCUACCUGGUGCUGUGACUGUGACCUGGAAGGCAGAUAUUACCACAAUCACCAAGGGUGUCGAGACUACGCAGCCCUCUAAACAGACCAACAACAAGUACAUGGCCAGCAGCUACCUGACCAUCACACCAGACAAAGGAAAAUCUCACAAAAGCUUUAGCUACCAGGUCACACAUGAAGGAAACACCAUGGAGAAGAGUGUGUCCCCUGCAGGAUGUUCUUAA